rnacentral:rRNA from 1 species
GGAGGAAAGUAGGGGAUCGCAAGACCUUGCGCUAGAGGAGCGGCCGAUGUCUGAUUAGCUAGUUGGUGGGGUAAAGGCUUACCAAGGCAACGAUCAGUAGUUGGUCUGAGAGGACGGCCAACCACACUGGGACUGAGACACGGCCCAGACUCCUACGGGAGGCAGCAGUGGGGAAUUUUGGACAAUGGGCGAAAGCCUGAUCCAGCCAUGCCGCGUGAGUGAAGAAGGCCUUCGGGUUGUAAAGCUCUUUUAGUCGGAAAGAAAGAGUUGCAAUGAAUAAUUGUGAUUUAUGACGGUACCGACAGAAAAAGCACCGGCUAACUACGUGCCAGCAGCCGCGGUAAUACGUAGGGUGCGAGCGUUAAUCGGAAUUACUGGGCGUAAAGGGUGCGCAGGCGGUCUUGCAAGUCAGAUGUGAAAGCCCCGGGCUUAACCUGGGAAUUGCGUUUGAAACUACAAGGCUAG